UUUUUGGCUUUUUGGCGGUUUCUUAUUUGAUCAAAACAACAAACAGAAGUUGCUAAGAAGCAAAAAGUAGAUAGCAUAGAGGAAAAUUCUCAUGUGACAACCAACCCGUUUCUUGAUGAGAUGCAAGAAGUAGAAAGUAAGUUUUACUCAACACUGUAUUAAUAUAUUCUUUGUGGUUGAAUUAAUUUGCAUCUCGUCCAUUUGUUAUGAUUUAGAUUUUGACGGUAAAACCAUGGGAAGAUGCAAUUAUUUUGUGAAAAUGCUAGCUCUUGAUUGAGUGUUAAUAUGCACAUAAGUUGAUUUUUUUGGCUGUUAUAUUUGUCUUCUAUUAUGUUUUUGCCUUGUCUUUUUCUUUUUUAACUUUCAGCCAUAUUGAAAUAUCCUCACCUUUGGGUUUCUUAUUUGAUCAAAACAUUAAAUAAAAAGAGGUAGCGACGAAGCCCCAUUCAAAAGACAAAAUAGAAGAAGUUGCUGAGCCAGAAGUAGAGAGCUCAGAUGAUUCCGAUGAUCGUCUUAGUGAUCCGAUAUGGUGGGAUGGUUCUUCGUUGGGUUGAUAUGAGUACUUAUGAGGAAUGGCGGUUGAAUGAAUGUUAUGAUGAAUGGGGCGAAGAUGAAGACUGGAUCGACAAUGAUGAGGCAAGUUUUUCUGGACAUCUCAACAAAGCAUGUGGCCUUACAGCAAUGAUUUUGAUAUUCACAAAUUUAGUUUCUAUGUGCAUAUAUGAAUUCUUUAUUAUCAAUCACUAAACCUGCAGGAUGAGUUAUUGUUAUGACGAAAGGUGGGAUAAAUGUUUUCACGUUGGUAAGCUCCCAGGGGAAGAUUAAAGACAUGGGAAAAAGAAUGAGGACUGAGAGUAAGAGAAAGAGAAGCAUUUUUUAAAGUAGUUUUGAUUAUAGUUUUGAAUCAUGUGUGUUGGUGGGUUUUUGUUAUGUGUAACUUAUGUUGCCUGAAAACUGUGUUAUUGUCUGUCUAAAUUUCUUUUUUGAAUUUUUUUUUGGAGAUUAAAAUCAAUUCUAUUUGAAG
rnacentral:lncRNA from 1 species